CUUUUCGAGGUAGGAGUCGACUCCUGUGAGGUAUGGUGCUGGGUGCAGAUGCAGUGUGGCUCUGGAUAGCACCUUAUGGACAGUUGUGUCCCCAAGGAAGGAUGAGAAUAGCUACUGAAGUCCUAAAGAGCAAGCCUAACUCAAGCCAUUGGCACACAGGCAUUAGACAGAAAGCUGGAAGUUGAAAUGGUGGAGUCCAACUUGCCUGGACCAGCUUAAUGGUUCUGCUCCUGGUAACGUUUUUAUCCAUGGAUGACUUGCUUGGGUAUGGAGAGUCGGCUUGACUACACUGUGUGGAGCAAGUUUUAAAGAAGCAAAGGGUUUUUAAUGACCACAACAAGCAAGCAUGCAGCUUACUGCUUGAAAGACAGGGUCUUGCCUCACCCAAGCUAGAGUGCAGUGGCCUUUGAAGCUUACUACAGCCUCAAACUUCUGGGCUCAAGUGAUCCUCAGCCUCCCAGUGGUCUUUGUAGACUGCCUGAUGGAGUCUCAUGGCACAAGAAGAUUAAAACAGUGUCUCCAAUUUUAAUAAAUUUUUGCAAUCCA
rnacentral:lncRNA from 1 species